UACGAAGGGGGCGAGCGUUGUUCGGAAUCACUGGGCGUAAAGGGCGCGUAGGCGGCCCUCUUAGUCGCGUGUGAAAGCCCCGGGCUCAACCUGGGAACGGCGCGCGAAACGGGAGGGCUGGAGUUCGGGAGAGGAGAGUGGAAUUCCCAAUGUAGAGGUGAAAUUCGUAGAUAUUGGGAAGAACAUCAGUGGCGAAGGCGGCUGCCUGGCCCAAUACUGACACUCAGGUGCGACAGCGUGGGGAGCAAACAGG
rnacentral:rRNA from 1 species